rnacentral:lncRNA from 1 species
UGUGCACCAUUAAGGUCCGGGCUGCAGGGAAGCUGAUAAGUGCUAAAUAAUGCAUAAAUUAAUCUCUUACUCAUAGCACUUAUCAUUAUUUUUAUGCACAUAUUUUAAAUUUAAACAUGAAAAAAUGUGUUCCCCUUCAUCAUUGCAUUAUUAAAGUAAUUCGAGUUUGCUUGAUUUUAUUGGUCGAGUCUAAUGUAUGCAGGUCGAGUCAAACUCAUUUGGGAUGACCCCUGAACCCAAAUUGCAUGCACCCCAUGAAUCAGAUCCUCUCAGAUUCCGAUUCAACCGUCCAUCCCAAUUCUCCUGUUUCUUUCCCAACAUUUUUCCGAGUCCACCCCACGUCCACGUCAUCCUCAUUUUUCUCUUCAUCUAAGAAUUAACCUUCCAGCUUCACAUCUCAACCACUCGCAUUCAACUUCUCCCGUGUUCCCUCCGUGGUGAAACGGCAUCAGCCCAUUCUCCGGAUUAGAUCAUCUCCCGAAAAUCUCUUCAUCCUGUUUACGUGCACCCCACGUCCAAACCUCUUCCGCAUCCGCAGAUCAAGCAACCAGCCCUCAUCCCGUUCGUGAUCUUCUCUUCAUCCCGUUCGGAUUGGUUCCAUCUCCACGGAUUGCGUCUCAACCAAAUCCCAGCUUCCUCCCGCGAUGCAUGCCAAGCAAAGGAUCUUCUGAGCGCGUCCACUUUUUCCG